UUGUAUGUAUGGUAUUGAAAGACCCUUGAAGUGGGGAGACCCUCACUCAAGUCUCGGGAUGACUCGACCCCCCAAGAACUCACAAGAGACC
rnacentral:pre_miRNA from 14 species